UACGUAGGGUGCGAGCGUUGUCCGGAUUUAUUGGGCGUAAAGAGCUCGUAGGCGGUUUGUCGCGUCGGCCGUGAAAUCUCCACGCUUAACGUGGAGCGUGCGGUCGAUACGGGCAGACUUGAGUUCGGUAGGGGAGACUGGAAUUCCUGGUGUAGCGGUGAAAUGCGCAGAUAUCAGGAGGAACACCGGUGGCGAAGGCGGAUCUCUGGGCCAUUACUGACGCUGAGGAGCGAAAGCAUGGGGAGCGAACAGG
rnacentral:rRNA from 1 species